rnacentral:rRNA from 1 species
CUACGGGAGGCUGCAGUGAGGAAUAUUGCACAAUGGGGGGAACCCUGAUGCAGCAACGCCGCGUGGAGGAUGACGCAUUUCGGUGUGUAAACUCCUUUUAUAUGUCAAGAAAAUGACGGUAGCACAUGAAUAAGCACCGGCUAACUCCGUGCCAGCAGCCGCGGUAAUACGGAGGGUGCAAGCGUUACUCGGAAUCACUGGGCGUAAAGGACGCGUAGGCGGGUUGGAAAGUCAGGUGUGAAAUCCUACAGCUUAACUGUAGAACUGCACUUGAAACUUCUAAUCUAGAGUAUGGGAGGGGGAGAUGGAAUUAGUGGUGUAGGGGUAAAAUCCGUAGAUAUAACUAGGAAUACCUAAAGCGAAGGCGAUCUCCUGGAACAUUACUGACGCUAAGGCGUGAAAGCGUGGGGAGCAAACAGGAUUAGAUACCCCGGUAGUC